ACCAGUCCCAAAGCUGCGAUGCUCACUCCGCACAAGAUGGUCGUUCUCUCUGCCAUCUAUCAUUGUGAGCGGGCUAAGGUCUGAGUAUUCUAUUCCCCCUCGAUCGGCUCUAGCUGGGCCCAGUUGUAAUUAACUGCAGCGACAUACCAGAAACUCAGCGUGUCAGCAGGUUCGUGCCCAAAGAUUCUUUCUAGAGGAGGGCCCAAUACUGUAGGCGCACUUUGGGACAUGUUGCGGGGAACGGGGGUGCUAAUGGUGCUUGAUAUCUCUUCAUCUUUGGGUGAAGAGAUUGAGUACAUAAUUGGCUCCUCCUUUAGUUCACUUCGCGGCUUGUGGAAUGCAGUAGCCCUCGGUUGAUCUCCAACUAUGGGCUGCUCCACAAAACUCGAUUCAGACUACUCUUGGUCUGGU
rfam:Moniliophthora roreri strain MCA 2952 kmer90.93801, whole genome shotgun sequence.